rnacentral:rRNA from 1 species
CAGCGCCACAAGUGGCAAUCGCGUUUAUUGGGCCUAAAGCGUCCGUAGCAGGUUUGGCAAAUCUUUUGUGAAAGCGUCGGGCUUAACUCGACGAAUGGCAGAAGACACUACCAAACUAGGGACCGGGAGGAGUCAGAAGUAUUCUGGGGGGACCGGUAAAAUGGUAUAAUCCCCAGAGGACUACCGAUGGCGAAGGCAUCUGACCAGAACGGAUCCGACUGUGAGGGACGAAAGCUAGGGGAGCAAACCGGAUUAGAGACCCGAGUAGUCC